rnacentral:rRNA from 1 species
AACGAACGCUGGCGGCAUGCCUAACACAUGCAAGUCGAACGAGACCUUCGGGUCUAGUGGCGCACGGGUGCGUAACGCGUGGGAACCUGCCCUUAGGCUCGGAAUAACUCCCCGAAAGGGGUGCUAAUACCGGAUAAUGUCUUCGGACCAAAGAUUUAUCGCCUUUGGAUGGGCCCGCGUUGGAUUAGCUAGUUGGUAGGGUAAAAGCCUACCAAGGCGACGAUUCAUAGCUGGUCUGAGAGGAUGAUCAGCCACACUGGGACUGAGACACGGCCCAGACUCCUACGGGAGGCAGCAGUGGGGAAUAUUGGACAAUGGGCGAAAGCCUGAUCCAGCAAUGCCGCGUGAGUGAUGAAGGCCUUAGGGUUGUAAAGCUCUUUUACCCGGGAUGAUAAUGACAGUACCGGGAGAAUAAGCUCCGGCUAACUCCGUG